AAGGGGAGGCCGGAUCCUGUGCUGUGUCCAUGGCAUUCUGUGCUCCCGGGCCUGCGCUGUCAGAAUCGUGCUUCUGGCUGCACAGCCCCCC
rnacentral:pre_miRNA from 1 species